AUUGAACGCUGGCGGCAGGCCUAACACAUGCAAGUCGAGCGGAGCGGCGGACGGGUGAGUAAUGCCUAGAAAUCUGCCUGGUCGUGGGGGAUAACGACCGGAAACGGGCGCUAGUACAGCAUACUAGCAGAUGAGCCUAGGCAGGCAUAGCUAGUGGGUGGGGUAAAGGCCUACCAAGGCGACGAUCCGUACCUGGUCUGAGAGGAUGAUCAGUCACACUGUAACUGAGACACGGUCCAGACUCCUACGGGAGGCAGCAGUGGGGAAUAUUGGACAAUGGGCGAAAGCCUGAGCCAGCCAUGCCGCGUGUGUGAAGAAGGUCUUCGGAUUGUAAAGCACUUUAAGUUGGGAGGCGUUACCAACAGAAUAAGCACCGGCUAACUUCGUGCCAGCAGCCGCGGUAAUUC
rnacentral:rRNA from 1 species